UCGGUUCCUGUUUGAUGUAAAACUGUCCUGAAGGUCAUUGUAUAGUUGUAUGUGUAGUUGCUAGGCAACAGCCUGUUUAUGUACAUCUCCAGGGGUGCAUCACUUACAGACUGUAUGCUACCACAGCCAUGCAUUUCAGUGGAUUACAACUGUCUUUGAAGUGUUUCCUAACUGGUUGCCCUGCUAGCCUGUGUCAAAAGAGAAAAAAGAGCAUAGGUGCUUACUCACUGUGGGUCCAACAGGAAGUCCCUGUGGUUUCCAUAGAAACCACAGGGCACCUGCUACACCAACAAGUCGUCGGUAUUUAGGCUAAGGUUAGCCUCGUCCCCUCUUUCAUUAACACCACACUACACACACACACACACUUACACAAACACCAUAUCCCUGCUGAAGUGCUGCCAGUGCUUUGCCAGACCAGAAGCUGAACAAGGUGUGCCAGAGAAUGGGCUGCAACUCAAGCCGUGGGGCCCAGGCUGUGGACCCGGCCAAGAAGCCCGAGGAGAGGCCGAGCUCAGCCAACUCGAGCAAGGAGGACUCGACCCCGGACGACUCGGAGCCAACAGUAGUUGAAGCAGCCAAGGAAGAUGCUGGGGAGGAAUCUAGUUGACCGGACGUUAGCCAGUGGCCUGGGCUGGCCCACAGCCCACAGUUUCUAUGCAGGUUGCCCUGAGUGAUGUUGAUGUGGUGACACUGCGGAAGAAACAAGUGUGACUGGUCGUCUAUUGUCGGCUUCCUUUUCAGAAGGGUGCAGCAAAACCACCUCAACAAUGGGCAUUUAGCCAUUGGUUAAAAAUUAGACAGCCAGUAGGCCUGUGUAUAUUAUAAUUCCUUUAAUAUGUCACCACUGUAAGAAUCAUACUGUAGAAAUGUCCCAAAAACGUCUUCAGUGACAGCCAUGCAAUGUUAAGCCUUUUUCAGAAUAGUUACUUGAGUAAUGUACAGGUUCAUCUGUUUUUUAUAUAAGAAAUUAA